UACAGAGGUCUCGAGCGUUAGGCGGAAUCACUGGGCUUAAAGCGUGUGUAGGCGGAUCGUUAAGUACCUUGUGAAAUCCCCCGGCUUAACCGGGGAACGGGCGGCGAUACGACCCGUCCUGGAGGGGCGUAGGGGGACCUGGAACUUCCGGUGGAGCGGUGAAAUGCGUUGAGAUCGGAAGGAACGCCCGUGGCGAAAGCGAGGUCCUGGACGCCUACUGACGCUGAGACGCGAAAGCCAGGGGAG
rnacentral:rRNA from 1 species